CACCUUUGUGAGUAAUUUAGUUUUGGUUAUUGAAGGGUUUUGUAGGGGUGCCACAUAGUAUUGGUUUAUGCUGUUUAUAACUGGUUAUUGAUGUCUGUUUGGACUAGUGGUUGGAUUUUGUUUGUUGAGCGGGAGCUUGAGCGAGUCCCUAUAUGGGGUUUAGGUGGUUAAUUCACAGUGCCAGCAGCUGCGGUUAUUCUGUUAGCCUUUCCUUCGUGUCGGUUUAAAUGGUUUGUGGGUAAUUGCGGAAUUGAAUGGGUAGAAUCUUAGUUUUUUUUCUAUUUUCUCACAGUUUCUUUUGAGGGCUAUUGGAAGAAUAGGAUUAGAGACCCUAGUAUUGAGUCUUAUUUAUUUUGUGACUUCAUAGUACGAACUAAAAAAAUUUGGCAGCCGAUGAUUCUCCCCCGGGGGAGCGUGUGGUGUAAAAGAUGGUCCACUUAUGUCUUUACCACCUUUAAUAUGGGUUAGUGUACGUCCGGUUUAAUACCUUUGGUUAUCGUCUUUAGGUGAAUUUCAGUUAAUUUAGGCCAGGUCUAUGUGCUGCUAAUGGGGUGGUGUCUGUUCGCUACGUUGGUAAAAGGCAUGGAGGUGAAGAUUUUGUGUGUAUUUAGGACUCGGGAGUAGGUGUAGGUUGAGGUGAUGCAUCGAAUGUUUGAUUUAGUCGGGGUACACACCGCCCGUCAACCAGGAUUAUUAGUUUUGGUAAGUCGUAACAUGGUAACGCUGGGGGAACCGGGCGUUAGUUAGUGGGGGGGUUUAUUUUCUUCAUUAUGUAGGUCCG
rnacentral:rRNA from 1 species